GUUCCUCCGGCACCUGCAGGCUCACCAGGUCCCGGAAGAGCCGCUUGGAGCGCGGCACGUUCAGCCCUGAGAGCGCAGCGGGGACGGAGGCCGCAGCGGAUCUGGAACGACUUUCUCAGCUGUUCCUCCACGGCCUUCGCAGCAUCAAAGUGGCUCCCGGCUGCGGCCCGCAGCUCCAGGCCCAAGGCCAGGCUGCUCUUCAGCACGGGCAUCUCCAGCUCCUGCGGCACCGCAGGCUGCGGCUCGGACCGCACCGGGGAGGGCGGCGUCAGGCGGAAGCGGACCUGGGAGCAGAGGGCAGGGCAGUGACCAGGUGGGCGCGAGGCCGUCGCGGGCCGGGGGCCAGCCUCCCCCGCUCACCUGCCGCCGCUGCCGAGCCGCGCCCCGCCGCUCCGCCCGCCCCUUCCGCCGCCCGGGGCUGCCGUGCCGCGGCUGAGGGCUGUCGGGCCGCGGGCUCAGGCUCAAGUCCAGGCCGGGCUCGGGCACUGGGGCUCGGAGUUGCGGGACUUGGGGCUCCGGGGGUGGCCCCGGGACCGCCGCGGCUUCUUCCCCGUCCGCCGACUUCAGCUCUGACUCCCCACAACCCAUCAUCAUCUUUGGAGGAAGUGCUGUGGAACAUCAGAUAGAAUGGAUAGCACAGCCCAAAUUUUACAAAAAGGAUUUUAAAGGAAGAUCUCAAUGGUGGAACACUAGAGGCUUUCCUGCUAAAGUUAAGAACAAGCAAAGGCUGACGCAGUUUUGGCAUGCAGGAAGUGUUGGAGCUGAGACUCGAAACUGUCCCCCAGGCCUUGGCCAUGCUGAUAAAUAUCUAGGCCCUACAGGAGUUCGUGUCCAUGAACCCAGUAAACGCAAUUCCUCAGCCUUAAAAUCUAGUCACUGACUCAUUUCAGGCCCCAGCACAGACGAAAACAAGCCAUUCUGUUUGCCCAGUUUACAUUGCGGGUCUCCAAGAAGUGGAAUGUUCACCAAUGAUUUUAAGAAAACAGGGCCUGGCGCGGUGGCUCACGCCUGUAAUCCCAGCACUUUGGGAGGCCGAGGCAGGCAGAUCACCUGAG
rnacentral:lncRNA from 1 species